rnacentral:rRNA from 1 species
UACGGAGGGUGCAAGCGUUAUCCGGAUUCACUGGGUUUAAAGGGUGUGUAGGCGGGUAUUUAAGUCAGUGGUGAAAUCUCCAGGCUCAACCUGGAAACUGCCAUUGAUACUAUUUAUCUUAAUCUUGUUGAGGCGGGCGGAAUAUAUCAUGUAGCGGUGAAUGCUUAGAUAUGAUAUAGAACACCGAUUGCGAAGGCAGCUCACUAAACAAGCAUUGACGCUGAGGCACGAAAGCGUGGGGAUCAAACAGG